rnacentral:rRNA from 1 species
AGCUAAUAGAUACCCGGGUAGUCCACGCCCUAAACGAUGUCUACUAGUUGUUGGUGGAGUAAAAUCCAUGAGUAAACGCAGCUAAACGCGUGAAGUAGACCGCCUGGGGAGUACGGUCGCAAGAUUAAAACUCAAAGGAAUUGACGGGGGCCCGCACAAGCGGUGGAUUAUGUGGAUUAAAUUCGAUGCAACGCGAAAAACCUUACCUGGCCUUGACAUGCCACUAACGAAGCAGAGAUGCAUUAGGUGCCCGUAAGGGAAAGUGGACACAGGUGCUGCAUGGCUGUCGUCAGCCCGUGUCGUGAGAUGUUGGGUUAAGUCCCGCAACGAGCGCAACCCUUGCCAUUAAUUGCCAUCAUUUAGUUGGGCACUUUAAUGGGACUGCCGGUGACAAACCGGAGGAAGGUGGGGAUGACGUCAAGUCCUCAUGGCCCUUAUGGCCAGGGCUUCACACGUAAUACAAUGGUCGGUACAGAGAGUUGCCAACCCGCGAGGGGAGCUAAUCUCAGAAAGCCGAUCGUAGUCCGGAUUGUUCU